GACGAACGCUGGCGGCGUGCUUAACACAUGCAAGUCGAACGGACAGGCCCUGCUUGCAGGGUACUCGAGUGGCGAACGGGUGAGUCACACGUGGGUGAUCUGCCCUGCACUUCGGGAUAAGCCUGGGAAACUGGGUCUACUACCGGAUAGGAGCCUUAUUUAGUGUGAUGGUUGGAAAGUUUUUUCGGUGUGGUAUGAGCUCGCGGCCUAUCAGCUUGUUGGUGGGGUUAUGGCCUACCAAGGCGGCGACGGGUAGCAGGGCCGGGAGGGUGGGCAGGCACAGUGAGACUGGGAUACAGACCAGACCCCGACGGGAGGGAGAGGCGGGGAAGGGGGCUCAAGGGGCGUGAGCCAGAGGCAGAGGCGCCGCGUGGGGGAGGACGGUCUUGGGGUUAGAAACGCAAUUCGCUAGGGACGAAGCUGUUUGUGACGGUACCUAGAGAAGAAGCACCGGCUAACUACGUG
rnacentral:rRNA from 1 species